UCAUACUAUUACAUACUACUACUACAUU
rnacentral:sRNA from 1 species